rnacentral:rRNA from 1 species
CCUACGGGAGACAGCAGUAGGGAAUUUUGCGCAAUGGGCGAAAGCCUGACGCAGCAACGCCGCGUGAUCGAGACGCCCUUCGGGGUGUAAAGAUCUGUCAGUGGGGACGAAACUUGACGGCACCCACAGAGGAAGCACCGGCCAACUCCGUGCCAGCAGCCGCGGUAAUACGGGGGGUGCAAGCGUUGUCCGGAAUCAUUGGGCGUAAAGAGGUCGUAGGCGGCACGUAAAGUCUGGUGUGAAAGGCAGAGGCUCAACUUCUGUACGGCAGUGGGUACUUGCGAGCUAGAAUGCGGUAGAGGUAGAGGGAAUUCCUGGUGUAGCGGUGAAAUGCUUAGAUAUCAGGAAGAACAUCGAUGGCGUAGGCAGUUUACUGGGCCGUAAUUGACGCUGAGGAACGAAAGCCAGGGUAGCAAAUGGGAUUAGAUACCCUAGUAGUC